AUAUAAACACGCAUUGUAACAACAACAACAACAAAUAUGGCGGAAUCUGUGUUGUCAAACACGGAAGAAGAAGGAUACAACCAUAAUUAAACCAAGAAGUUUAUGAAGAAGGGAUCACUAGAUUUGUCACUUUGGUACAAGAAACAGAAAAGGAUAUCAUAGACCACCUUACUUAUACGGAAGCAUAGGAGCUGUUGAAGGAAAUUGCUGCCAGACAGUCAGCAGUUAUCACUGACAGCCUGUCCUGGCCCGGUUGGACCAUCCUCAAGCUAACCAUUAUGAAAAAGGGUUAAGUGGUGACUGAUCCUCUCACCCUCCUUAUCCAGUAAACGUUUCGGAACAACGUGUUGGCACUGAAGAUGUAGAGGACACAGAUUGAUCACAGUACAUCCUUUGGAUACAUGGACAAUUUCAACGGGAUGGCAACAAAACUGUACCUGCCUUUUUUUUGACAGGAAGUAGUUAAUAAAAUUAUUGUUAACAGCUUUUUUAGUCUUGUUGUUUAAGAAUGCUUGAACAUUUAAGUGGAUAAACGGUUGUUUUAAAUUUGAAUCUUCAGUAAUGCAUUCUUUAUUAAAUGAAGUGUAAAUAAUAAGAACAUAAUUAUCCUUUGUAUACAAAAUGAAAACCAAGUUUACUGUUCUAUUAAUCAUUAUUUAUUUAUCUUGUUCUUUUGUCAGAAAUAUAACAGGGGCAUACAUACAGUAUUCCUUAAAUAAAAGGGGCAGUUCUUAGAAAAUUAACAUGUAUUUUAGCAAUGCAUAUUCAAACUUUUUCCACAUUUAUUAGCAGCAACAAUAUGUAAGUAUUAUAAUGUAACACAAAUUAAUACUAUGAAUUUACCACUGAUUUUGCCGUGCCUGUCAUCAAAUAAACAUGUUUUACUGAAAGUUUCUUAAAAGAUGUUAUGUUGAAGACUUAAUCAAUCAUUUAAUAAAUAUUUGAGCCUCGCUCUGGGAAUAGGGGGUUUAAUGCAUGUACUCAAUGUUGUCCAAGAUUAGGCUGUGCAGACUUAUCUGGAUUUUCUCUAAAAGACUCCCUUUCAACAAAAAAUACAAUAAAGCAGCAAUUGUCUGCCUGAUUGGUAUGAUCAGCACAGGUUAAUCUCGUACGACAAUUUACGCACAUGCAUUAAGCCCCAUUUUCCCAGGGCAAGGCUCACCUAUUUAGGUUUUAGCUGUCUAUAUGCUCUUUAACUUUUGAAUCAUGAUGCAGUUUUAUAAAUUAAUGUAUUAUGAGUCGUUUUUAAUUGAUGCAUAUUCUUUUGUUCAGUGUUGAACUCAACAUGUAUUAUAAUAAGGUGUUCACUUAACAUUCUUGCAGUAAUGUUUUGCUGUGAUGUUUUACAUGUAAUAAUAAAUCAAAAUUGAACAACUA